GACGAACGCUGGCGGCGUGCUUAACACAUGCAAGUCGAACGGUAAGGCCCUUCGGGGUACACGAGUGGCGAACGGGUGAGUAACACGUGGUGAUCUGCCCUGCACUUCGGGAUAAGCCUGGGAAACUGGGUCUAAUACCGGAUAGGACUCCGGACUGCAUGGUCUGGGGUGGAAAGCUUUUGCGGUGUGGGAUGGGCCCGCGGCCUAUCAGCGUGUUGGUGGGGUGAUGGCCUACCAAGGCGACGACGGGUAGCCGGCCUGAGAGGGUGACCGGCCACACUGGGACUGGGAUACGGCCCAGACUCCUACGGGAGGCAGCAGUGGGGAAUAUUGCACAAUGGGCGCAAGCCUGAUGCAGCGACGCCGCGUGAGGGAUGACGGCCUUCGGGUUGUAAACCUCUUUCAGCAUCGACGAAGCGAAAGUGACGGUAGGUGCAGAAGAAGGACCGGCCAACUACGUGCCAGCCGCCGCGGUAA
rnacentral:rRNA from 1 species